CACUGUACAGGACAGUGUGGACGAUAUGGAGGUAGCUGUUACGGAUACCUGGAAAAAAAAAAAAGGCCAAAAACGGUCAAAUGUUGAUGCCUUUGAUUCGAAGGAGCAGAAUUAGGUCCAGAUCGUGUCAGGCUCGGCGGACCCUCGAGGAACGUCUGACAUUGGAAACCCUUUGGUGGUGCCGGAGUCGUGUGCGGAUGUGGAAACUUCGCUUGUUCCACUGGCCGACUCCGAGCGGGACACAGAGAACGGUCCAACUUGUCUGUUUAUUUGUUCAUCUCUUCAGACGUUGAUGGAACUCCUCUAUUUACUUUUCUUUCCAAGCCUUCAAGUUAAUCAGCCACCUUUUGAUUUUACGUAAGUAGUGUGAAUGAAAUAUUUGAAUAAAUGCACGGAUUAUUGUUUGUAUUCUGAGUCAUAACAACUAGUUUUAAGUUUCAUGGAUAGAAUUCGCAAUAUCUUUGAAUGAUUCUGGCAUGUCUGCAGCUUCAUGUUGCAUGGGUUUUGUUUUGUUGUUGUUUUUUUCAUUACAGCAAGGAAUGAGACUUUCCAAAAGCAUCGGCCUCACCUGGGGCUUCUUGACAUUGCUAGGUCUUGCUUUGGGGGAAACCACAUCGAAGGGUGAUCCUUCUAUGUGUUCAUGGUUUUCAACUAUUCGCAGGCAACGUGUAAGUAAUAUACCUGUGGCUGUAGUUGGAGGCUUACAAACUUUAACUCCUUCAUACAGGUUUUGGAAAAUGCUCCGCAUGGUAGCGUACAGUAAGCAGCCAAGUGCCAGGCAGAAGUGUGCUAUGGUGGCCCGUAGACCAGCACGAUCAGUGGGUCCCAGCCUUGCAGUGAUACGGACAUUCUGGGACUCCAAGUCACCAAAUGCACCUCGUCCACCUCUUUAUGAAUAUCGCCACCCAAAGGAAGACAAGUCGAUGAUGUAUUUUCAGUUGCCGGAUGUGUGGCUCACUGAGAUGACCCCUUUGAGAGAAGGGUAUGGGAGCGAUUCCAUCAUCUGGGGACCCACUGCUACAGCUGAAUAUCCUACUGCCUCUCGUGCAAGCCCAACAGUUAACCCGCAGGACACAACGGGCCCAUUUCCUGUUGACAACCCUGAAAUGGUUAGCCAAGAUGAUGAGAUGGAGGGGAAUCGUCCAAGCAUCAAUCCCACAACUCCACUACCACCAUCACCAGUAUUGCCAGAUUGGAGGCGUCACACAGAUUUGAAUGUGAACGACUCUAAUAAGGCUGUUGGUGUUCGAGGGUGGUGGAGCGGACAGAGUGGUUACACGUACCAAAAAAGCAGGGGCUCGUUUGUCGCUCCCACUCUGACCUGCCUUGACUCACUGGCAGCUUGCACAGAGAGCCAGAGCAGCGGACUCACGGCACGGCAAGUUACCACCAUUGCCAGCAUCUGCUCCAUAAGCUUUGUGGUCAUUGCUGCUGCAGUCGUGCUUCGUACCAGCUGGGUUCGGUCACGGAACCAUUUGCGGCAUUCAUUACAACGACGCGACGGUGGUGGCAUUGAGGAGACAUGCCCUGUGACUCUGUCAUCACCAUCCAGCCGAAAGCCGCCAGCUGUGCCACCAAUUUUCACAACAUAUAGUGAUAUUGGUGUGGCGAUGUCACCUCCACAGCCAUCGCAGCCACCAUCCUGUGUCCUCUCAUCACCUGUUAUAAUCACAACAGCAUCCGACAUUGCACCUAGACUGUAUGACGGGAGAAGAAUUCCUCUGUACACUGUCUCCACCACCACUACUGUCGCCUCUGUUGCUCCUACCUUGACAUCGGCUUCAUUUCCACAGCUCCUGCCGGGAAGUCUUCACGGACCACCCAUCGCUAAAACAGCCUACAACGGCAGCAGGUUCGUCGCGCGGACGCGGGGCGGGCGUGGCGCGGCGCUGGGGGGGGCAUCAGCCACAGCCACGACGCCAGCGCGCGUCUUUCGUGCGAGAGCCGAGGUACACUGUGAUCCUGAGCUAACGUAGGCCUGGUGGGCCGGCCAGCCGCAACGAAGCGCUCCUGGCCAGGUGAGGCCUGCUUCCUGCAUACCCAAUACUGCCUUACUCCCUGCUUCCCAAAAUGAUUUGGUCCUGCUUCAGAAUUUCCA
rnacentral:lncRNA from 1 species